CAUCACUUACCACAUAGCCUGCACUGUAUUCCCAUACUUCUAACCUGUGGUGAAGCUGCAUUCUUUUGUCAUCUUCUCUGGAGCUUGAAGUUUGUCAAGGGUCACAAACUUAGAAGAUUAGUGAUGCGAGACUUAGGUUUCUUGCAAAUGCUGUUGGACUGGUGGGACUUCAGCUGCCACAAAGGAGUGACUUUCAAAUCUAAUGAACCUUACCUGCUUUAGCCUGGCCUGGAACAGUCCAAAGAUCACAGUGCCUUUUCCGGACAGUUUCUACUGCAGCCAGCACUGCAGAAAGUUGCGUAAGAGAAAGAUAAGAAGAAAAGGAAUACACAAAGCUCCUCCCACGAGAUGAAUCCUUUUGUCAAAGACAUAUUUUUGGGGUGGUAGAUUUUUGUACUCCCCUGAGGCCACAAGAACCUAAGUAUGACAGAAAGACAUUUGAAGAGGCUUAGUACAAGUGCCGGCUUUGUCCAUUAGAGUAGUUGGAUCAUUGCAUUUUCUUUCUUUUUUUUUUUCUUCUAGUAAAAUUGAUUUUGUUAUAUUUUUCCUGUACUCCACACUUUGAUAUUCUUGUCUAAAAAAAACACACAAAAAAGCUAUCAACAGACAGUCCAUAUUUUU